rnacentral:rRNA from 1 species
AAUGAACGUUGGCGGCAUGGAUUAGGCAUGCAAGUCGCGCGCGAAAUGUAGCAAUACAUGGAGAGCGGCGAAAGGGAGAGGAAUACGUGGGAACCUACCUUCGGGCCUGGAAUAGCGGCGGGAAACUGCCGGUAAUGCCAGAUAACGUCUCCGGACCAAAGGUGUGAUUCCGCCGGAAGAUGGGCCCACGUCCUAUCAGCUAGUUGGUGUGGUAAUGGCGCACCAAGGCUAAAACGGGUAUGGGGUGUGAGAGCAUGCCCCCACUCACUGGGACGGAGACACUGCCCAGACACCUACGGGUGGCUGCAGUCGAGAGUCUUAGGCAAUGAGCGCAAGCUUGACCGAGCGACGCCGCGUGCGGGAUGAAGGCCUUCGGGUUGUAAACCGCUGUCGUAGGGGAAUAAUGGCCAAGGGGUACUCUUCUUGGUUUGAAUGAUCCUAGGAGGAAGGACGGGCUAAGUUCGUGCCAGCCGCCGCGGUAA